CUAAAGAUGGCGACCGGCGCACGGGUGAGUAACACGUAUCCAACCUGCCGAUAACUCGGGGAUAGCCUUUCGAAAGAAAGAUUAAUAUCCGAUGGUAUAUUUUCUCCGCAUGGUGAGAAUAUUAAAGAAUUUCGGUUAUCGAUGGGGAUGCGUUCCAUUAGUUUGUUGGCGGGUAACGGCCCACCAAGACCACGAUGGAUAGGGGUUCUGAGAGGAAGGUCCCCCACAUUGGAACUGAGACACGGUCCAA
rnacentral:rRNA from 1 species